rnacentral:snRNA from 1 species
GGAUGUGAGGGCAAUCUGGCUGAGACAUCUGUCACUACAUUGAUGGCCAGGGUUGAUUCGGCUGAUCUGGCUGGCUAGGCGGGUGUCCCCUUUCUCCUUCAAUGCUCCAUGUACAUCCUUCCCAAAGUUGUACACUAGGUCUACAAGGAUGGCCUUCCCUGAAUAGAGACGGACCGUAGAGAUGGACCCAUCUUUCGGUCUAGGGUAUACGAGUCUCUGUGCUACCCUGCUAGAACCUCCAAACAAGCUCUCAAAACUUCCCUGUAUGAGAAUGACUUAUGUCACAUUGUUAUACUAUCAUACUACAUAUUAUACAGACAGACUAUGACCCACAUA